ensembl:lncRNA
AACCUUUAAAUUCUAGAUUGUAGCAAUAAUGGAAGAGAUAGAAGACAUUUAUGUACAAAUACUAUUCCUUUUCCCAGCACCAAUAUACUUCUUUCUAUCACAGCUUCAGUUUAAAAGCAUUCAAGGAGUUUCUGAAGCCUACAGCUUGUGAAGAAGAGUGCCUCAUCUGCUGGAAGAACACACUUUACAUAAAAGAGGAUGAGAUUUGGAGAAUGAGAACAUUACUGGAGCCUGACGUGGGGGAAACCAACAAGCCAGGAAGGACGAAAUCAGUUGAGGGAGAUUUGAACCGCUACUCAAGUGUGCAGAGUACCAGGGAGAGCCCCAACAGGUCCUUGAGGAGGCAUCUAAGAACAACCCAAGCAAAUGCAAAUCCUGGAAGAGCAGAUAUCAUUUUUACAAUAUUUUAG